GACGAACGCUGGCGGCGUGCUUAACACAUGCAAGUCGAACGGAAAGGCGCCACUUUGCUGUAGUACUCGAGUCGCGAACGGGUGAGUAACACGUGAGUAAUCUUCCCUGCACUCUGGGAUAAGCCUAGGAAACUGGGACUAAUACUUGAGAUGACCUUUCUCCUUUUGGGGUUUGUUGGAAAUUUUUGCGGUGUAUGAUGAUCCCGCGGCUUAUCAGCUUGUUGGUGGGGUGAUGGCCUACCAAGGCGACGACGGGUCGCCGGCCUGGGAGGGUGAACGGCCACAUUGGUACUGCGAUACGGCCCAGACUCCUACGGGAGACAGCAGUGGGGAAUAUUGCACAAUGGGCCGAAGCCUGAUGCAGAGACGCCGCGUGAGGGAUGACGGCCUUCGGGUUGUAAACCGCUUUCAGCAGAGACGAAGCGUAAGUGACGGUACCUGCAGAAGAAGCACCGGCUAACUACGUG
rnacentral:rRNA from 1 species